AUGACUGCUCAGAUUGAAACGGCGGGAUGCUUUACACAUGCAAGUCGAACGGCAGCACGACUUCGGUUCACGUGGCGAGUGGUGAACGGGUGAGUAAUGUAUCGGAACGCCCAGCGGGGGAUAACUACGCGAAAGCGGGCGUUAUUGCGCCAAUACCUCUUCGUGAAAGUGGGGACCUUCGGCCUCGCACUAGAGCGUGUUUGAUGCUCGGAUUAGCUGGUUGGUGGGGUAACGGCUCACCAAGGCGACGAUCCGCAGCUGGUUUGAGAGGACGACCAGCCACACUGGGACCGAGACACGCAGCCCAGACUACGGGACAGGCAGUGGGAAUUUUGGACAGCUGGGAAACCCUGAUCCAGCCAUCCCGGCGUGUGCGAUGAAGGCUCAAGCGUAAAGCACUUUUGGCAGGGAAAGAAACGGCAUCGAUAAUACCCCGUGCAACUGACGGUACCUGCAGAAUAAGUGAAUGGGCUAACCACGUGCCAGCAGCCGCGGUAAUACGUAGGCGCGCGUUACCUGGAAUUACUGGCGUAAAGCGUGCGCAGGCGGUUCGGAAAAGAAAGAUGUGAAAUCCCAGAUGACCUAACCAAAUAUUUUUAACUACUGAGCUAGAGUGGUGUCAGAGGGAGGUGGACCAUGUGUAGUAGUAAAUGCGUAGAGAUAUGUGGAGGAACACCGAUGGCGAAGGCAGCCUCCCGGGAUAACACUGACGCUCAUGCACGAAAGCGUGGGAGUAAACAGGAUUAGAUACCCUGGUAGUCCACGCCCUAAACGAUGUCAACUAGCUGUUGGGGCCUUCUGGCCUUGCAGCGCAGCUAACGCGUGAAGUUGACCGUCGGGGAGUACGGUCGCAAGAUUAAAACUCAAAGGAAUUGACGGGACCUGCACAAGCGGUGGAUGAUGUGAUUAAUCUGAUGCAACGCGAAAACCUUACACUGCCCCUGACAGUCUGGAAUCCCAGAAAGAGAUCGGGAGUGUCGUAAGCAGGUAACCGGAACACAGUGCUGCAUGGCUGUCGUCACUCGUGUCGUGAGAUGUUGGUUAAGUCCGCAACAGUUAAACCCUUGUCAUUAGUUACAGCGAAAGGGCACUCUGACGAGACCGCCGGUGACAAACCGGAGGAAGGUGGGGAUGACGUCAAGCCUCAUGGCCCUGGCGGGUAGGGCCUCACACGUCAUACAAUGGUCGGGACAGAGGGUCGCCAACCGUUGAGGAGCCAAUCCUAGAAACCCGAUCGUAGUCCGGAUCGCAGUCUGCAACCCGACUGCGGAAGUCGGAACGCUGGCAAUCGCGGAUCAGCAUGUCGCGGUGAAUACGUUCCGGGUCUUGUACACACCGCCCGUCACAAUUCACAAGGAGUGGUUUUACCAGAAGUAGUUAGCCUAACCGUAAGAGAGGGCGAUUGCCACGGUAGGAUUCAUGACUGGGGUGAAGUCGUGCAAUGGCGUAG
rnacentral:rRNA from 1 species